UAAUACCGGAUACGACCAUCUGACGCAUGUCAUGGUGGUGGAAAGCUUUUGUGGUUUUGGAUGGACUCGCGGCCUAUCAGCUUGUUGGUGGGGUAAUGGCCUACCAAGGCGACGACGGGUAGCCGGCCUGAGAGGGUGACCGGCCACACUGGGACUGAGACACGGCCCAGACUCCUACGGGAGGCAGCAGUGGGGAAUAUUGCACAAUGGGCGCAAGCCUGAUGCAGCGACGCCGCGUGAGGGAUGACGGCCUUCGGGUUGUAAACCUCUUUCAGUAGGGAAGAAGCGAAAGUGACGGUACCUGCAGAAGAAGCGCCGGCUAACUACGUGCCAGCAGCCGCGGUAAUACGUAGGGCGCAAGCGUUAUCCGGAAUUAUUGGGCGUAAAGAGCUCGUAGGCGGUUUGUCGCGUCUGCUGUGAAAGACCGGGGCUCAACUCCGGUUCUGCAGUGGGUACGGGCAGACUAGAGUGCAGUAGGGGAGACUGGAAUUCCUGGUGUAGCGGUGAAAUGCGCAGAUAUCAGGAGGAACACCGAUGGCGAAGGCAGGUCUCUGGGCUGUAACUGACGCUGAGGAGCGAAAGCAUGGGGAGCGAACAGGAUUAGAUACCCUGGUAGUCCAUGCCGUAAACGUUGGGCACUAGGUGUGGGGGACAUUCCACGUUUUCCGCGCCGUAGCUAACGCAUUAAGUGCCCCGCCUGGGGAGUACGGCCGCAAGGCUAAAACUCAAAGGAAUUGACGGGGGCCCGCACAAGCGGCGGAGCAUGCGGAUUAAUUCGAUGCAACGCGAAGAACCUUACCAAGGCUUGACAUGAACCGGAAAGACCUGGAAACAGGUGCCCCGCUUGCGGUCGGUUUACAGGUGGUGCAUGGUUGUCGUCAGCUCGUGUCGUGAGAUGUUGGGUUAAGUCCCGCAACGAGCGCAACCCUCGUUCUAUGUUGCCAGCGCGUUAUGGCGGGGACUCAUAGGAGACUGCCGGGGUCAACUCGGAGGAAGGUGGGGACGACGUCAAAUCAUCAUGCCCCUUAUGUCUUGGGCUUCACGCAUGCUACAAUGGCCGGUACAAAGGGUUGCGAUACUGUGAGGUGGAGCUAAUCCCAAAAAGCCGGUCUCAGUUCGGAUUGGGGUCUGCAACUCGACCCCAUGAAGUCGGAGUCGCUAGUAAUCGCAGAU
rnacentral:rRNA from 1 species